rnacentral:rRNA from 1 species
UACAGAGGGGGCAAGCGUUGUUCGGAAUUACUGGGCGUAAAGGGCGCGCAGGCGGCCUUCUAAGUCGGACGUGAAAGCCCCAGGCUUAACCUGGGAACUGCGUCCGAUACUGGGAGGCUUGGAUUCGGGAGAGGGAUGUGGAAUUCCAGGUGUAGCGGUGAAAUGCGUAGAUAUCUGGAGGAACACCGGUGGCGAAGGCGGCAUCCUGGACCGAGAUCGACGCUGAGGCGCGAAAGCUAGGGGAGCAAACGGG